GAAUUGCGAUAAGUAAUGUGAAUUGCAGAAUUCAGUGAAUCAUCGAAUCUUUGAACGCACCUUGCGCCCCUUGGCUAUUCCGAGGGGCAUGCCUGUUUGAGUAUCAUGAACACCUCAACUCUCACGGUUUGCCGUGGUGAGCUUGGAUGUUGGGGGUUUUGCUGGCCUGUGGUUGGCUCCUCUCAAAUGAAUCAGCUUUCCAGUGUUUGGUGGCGCCAUGGGUGUGAUAACUAUCUACGCUCGUGACUGUCUGCCAGGUAACCUUCCGCAAUGGGGGUUUGCUGGAGCUCACAAAUGUCUCUCCUCAGUGAAGACAGCCUUUUGAACGUUCGAUCUCAAAUCAGGUAGGACUACCCGCUGAACUUAAGCAUAUCAAUAAGCGGAGGAAAAAGAAACUAACAAAGGAUUCCCCUAGU
rnacentral:rRNA from 1 species